ACUCAAAUGAAUUGACGGGGGCCCGCACAAGCGGUGGAACAUGUGGUUUAAUUCGACGCAACGCGAAGAACCUUACCUACCCUUGACAUGCUCGGAAUUUGCCAGAGAUGGUGAAGUGCCUUCGGGAACCGAGACACAGGUGCUGCAUGGCUGUCGUCAGCUCGUGUCGUGAGAUGUUGGGUUAAGUCCCGUAACGAGCGCAACCCUUGUCCUUAGUUGCCAACAGGUAAAGCUGGGAACUCUAGGGAGACUGCCGGUGACAAGCCGGAGGAAGGUGGGGAUGACGUCAAGUCCUCAUGGCCCUUACGGGUAGGGCUACACACGUGUUACAAUGGGCAGUACAGAGAGAAGCGAAGCCGCGAGGUGUAGCAAAUCUUUUAAAAGCUGUUCGUAGUCCGGAUUGGAGUCUGCAACUCGACUCCAUGAAGUUGGAAUCGCUAGUAAUCGCGGAUCAGAACGCCGCGGUGAAUACGUUCCCGGGCCUUGUACACACCGCCCGU
rnacentral:rRNA from 1 species